ensembl:snoRNA
GCAGACUCACUCUGUGCCUGACUGCAAUAUUCAGCCAAGGUGCUUUUUAGGUCUGCUAGAGUAAUGAUCAAGGAUGUUGUGAACAUAUCCCUGUUGUGGGACUCUGUUUCAAUUGGUCUUGGCACACCAUG